rnacentral:lncRNA from 1 species
GGCUGAUGUAUAGAUGUGAGCUGUGCAACUUCAAUCUUCAUAUCCCCUGCAUGUUCAUUGACCGUAAGCCUACUGCCAAACAUGAAUUCUUCGGAAACUCCACUUUCAAACUCUUACCCACCCUCGGGGCAUGCUCUACUAAAGAUUGUAUAGAUUGUAACAAACACUGUCACGCGUGUGGAAGACCCGCGGAUGGUUUUGUCUACCAUUGCGAAGAGAAAGGCCGUAACUUGCACCCCUGUUGCUUCAACCUUCCGCGUAAGCUGCAAAUCGAUUGUGUUGAAUUUGAGCUUUCUGAUAAGAAAUUAUCACAGAAGUGCAUUUGGUGCAACAGCAAAAGGCUUCAAGAAACUGCAAGUGACAGGUGGGGGUGGUCUUAUGUAUCCAAGUGCAAGAAUUACCAUUGUCAUGCAUUCUGCUCUACUGAAAUGCUGCUGGA